GCGUUCGUGGUGUAGUGGUCAGCACGUUCGACGCGUAAUGGAGAGGUCCGUGGUUCGAUUCCUGGCGUAGGCA
rfam:Stegodyphus mimosarum contig75969, whole genome shotgun sequence.